AACGUACGCUGGCGGCAUGCCUAAUACAUGCAAGUCGAACGAGAUCUUCGGAUCUAGUGGCGCACGGUUGCGUAACGCGUGGGAAUCUGCCCUUGGGUUCGGAAUAACAGUUAGAAAUGACUGCUAAUACCGGAUGAUGACGAAAGUCCAAAGAUUUAUCGCCCAAGGAUGAGCCCGCGUAGGAUUAGCUAGUUGGUGAGGUAAAGGCUCACCAAGGCUACGAUCCUUAGCUGGUCUGAGAGGAUGAUCAGCCACACUGGGACUGAGACACGGCCCAGACUCCUACGGGAGGCAGCAGUAGGGAAUAUUGGACAAUGGGCGAAAGCCUGAUCCAGCAAUGCCGCGUGAGUGAUGAAGGCCUUAGGGUUGUAAAGCUCUUUUACCCGGGAUGAUAAUGACAGUACCGGGAGAAUAAGCCCCGGCUAACUCCGUGCCAGCAGCCGCGGUAA
rnacentral:rRNA from 1 species